AGUGAACGCUGGCGGUAGGCCUAACACAUGCAAGCCGAACGGCAGCACAGUAAGAGCUUGCUCUUACGGGUGGGGAGUGGCGGACGGGUGAGGAAUACAUCGGAAUCUACUUUUUCGUGGGGGAUAACGUAGGGAAACUUACGCUAAUACCGCAUACGACCUACGGGUGAAAGCAGGGGAUCUUCGGACCUUGCGCGAUUGAAUGAGCCGAUGUCGGAUUAGCUAGUUGGCGGGGUAAAGGCCCACCAAGGCGACGAUCCGUAGCUGGUCUGAGAGGAUGAUCAGCCACACUGGAACUGAGACACGGUCCAGACUCCUACGGGAGGCAGCAGUGGGGAAUAUUGGACAAUGGGCGCAAGCCUGAUCCAGCCAUACCGCGUGGGUGAAGAAGGCCUUCGGGUUGUAAAGCCCUUUUGUUGGGAAAGAAAAGCAGCAGGUUAAUACCCCGCUGUUCUGACGGUACCCAAAGAAUAAGCACCGGCUAACUUCGUG
rnacentral:rRNA from 1 species